rnacentral:rRNA from 1 species
AGAAGAAGAAAGUCGGUGAAGAGCCGGCCCUGACGGUAUCCCCUUAGCAAGCACCGGCUAACUCCGUGCCAGCAGCCGCGGUAAUACGGAGGGUGCAAACGUUGCUCGGAAUCAUUGGGCGUAAAGCGCGCGUAGGCGGCUGAACAAGUUGGAUGUGAAAGCCCUGGGCUCAACCUAGGAUGUGCAUUCAAAACUGUUCGGCUUGAGUCUCGGAGGGGGUCAGAGAAUUCUCGGUGUAGAGGUGAAAUUCGUAGAUAUCGGGAGGAACACCAGUGGCGAAGGCGCUGACCUGGACGAUGACUGACGCUGAGGCGCGAAAGCGUGGGGAGCAAACAGGAUUAGAUACCCUGGUAGUCCACGCCGUAAACGAUGAGUGCUAGACGCUGGCGGAUUGACCCCGUCGGUGUCGAAGCUAACGCGUUAAGCACUCCGCCUGGGGAGUACGGUCGCAAGACUAAAAACUCAAAGGAAUUGACGGGGG